rnacentral:rRNA from 1 species
AGUGAACGCUGGCGGUAGGCCUAACACAUGCCAGUCGAACGGCAGCACAGUAAGAGCUUGCUCUUACGGGUGGCGAGUGGCGGACGGGCGAGGAAUACAUCGGAAUCUACUUUUUCGUGGGGGAUAACGUAGGGAAACUUACGCUAAUACCGCAUACGACCUACGGGUGAAAGCAGGGGAUCUUCGGACCUUGCGCGAUUGAAUGAGCCGAUGUCGGAUUAGCUAGUUGGCGGGGUAAAGGCCCACCAAGGCGACGAUCCGUAGCUGGUCUGAGAGGAUGAUCAGCCACACUGGAACUGAGACACGGUCCAGACUCCUACGGGAGGCAGCAGUGGGGAAUAUUGGACAAUGGGCGCAAGCCUGAUCCAGCCAUACCGCGUGGGAGAAGAAGGCCUUCGGGUUGUAAAGCCCUUUUGUUGGGAAAGAAAAGCAGCAGGUUAAUACCCCGCUGUUCUGACGGUACCCAAAGAAUAAGCACCGGCUAACUUCGUG